rnacentral:rRNA from 1 species
AUUAAACGGCCGCGGUACCCUAACCGUGCAAAGGUAGCGUAAUCAUUUGUCUAUUAAUUGUAGACCUGUAUGAAAGGCAAAAUGAGGGUCUAACUGUCUCUUAUAAUCAAUCAAUUAAACUGAUCUCCCAGUACAAAAGCUGGAAUUCCAUCAUAAGACCAGAAGACCCUGUGAAGCUUAAACCAAACUGUUAAACCUCAUGACAACUAAUUUCGGUUGGGGCGACCUUGGAAAAAAAAARAACUUCCAAAUAUAAAGCUACAUAAAGCUACUCCAGGCCGACAGGCCAAACAACGACCCAGCAUAUAGCUGACUAAUGAAACAAGUUACUCCAGGGAUAACAGCGCUAUCUUCUUCAAGAGCCCAUAUCAAAAAGAAGGUUUACRACCUCGAUGUUGGAUCAGGACAUCCUAAUGGUGCAGCCGCUAUUAAGGGUUCGUUUGUUCAACGAUUAACAGUCCCACGUGAUCUG